GACGAACGCUGGCGGCGUGCUUAACACAUGCCAGUCGAACGGUGACGACCGAGCUUGCUCGGUCUGAUUAGUGGCGAACGGGUGAGUAACACGUGAGCAACCUGCCCUUCACUCUGGGAUAACCUCGGGAAAUCGGGGCUAAUACCGGAUAUGAGCUCCUGUCGCAUGGCGGGUGUUGGAAAGUUUUUCGGUGAAGGAUGGGCUCGCGGCCUAUCAGUUUGUUGGUGAGGUAGUGGCUCACCAAGGCGAUGACGGGUAGCCGGCCUGAGAGGGCGACCGGCCACACUGGGACUGAGACACGGCCCAGACUCCUACGGGAGGCAGCAGUGGGGAAUAUUGCACAAUGGGCGAAAGCCUGAUGCAGCGACGCCGCGUGAGGGAUGACGGCCUUCGGGUUGUAAACCUCUUUCAGCAGGGAAGAAGCGAAAGUGACGGUACCUGCAGAAGAAGCGCCGGCUAACUACGUG
rnacentral:rRNA from 1 species